UGGCUGAAAAAGCAACAUUAUCAGCGCC
rnacentral:sRNA from 1 species